rnacentral:rRNA from 1 species
CCUACGGGCGGCAGCAGUAGGGAAUAUUGCUCAAUGGGGGAAACCCUGAAGCAGCAACGCCGCGUGGAGGAUGAAGGUUUUCGGAUUGUAAACUCCUUUUGUUAGAGAAGAUAAUGACGGUAUCUAACGAACAAGCACCGGCUAACUCCGUGCCAGCAGCCGCGGUCAUACGGAGGAUGCGAGCGUUAUCCGGAUUUAUUGGGUUAAAGGGGUGCGCAGGGGGUCUGUUAAGUCAGCGGUAAAAGCCCGGGGCCAAACCCCGGCCCGCCGUUGAAACUGGCAGGCUCGAGUUGGAGAGAAGUAGGCGGAAUGCGCGGUGUAGCGGUGAAAUGCAUAGAUAUCGCGCAGAACUCCGAUUGCGAAGGCAGCAUGCCGGAUCCAAACUGACGCUGAGGCACGAAAGCGUGGGUAUCGAACAGGAUUAGAUACCCCAGUAGUC